UACGGAGGGGGCUAGCGUUGUUCGGAAUUACUGGGCGUAAAGCGCACGUAGGCGGCUUUGCAAGUUAGAGGUGAAAGCCCAGGGCUUAACCCUGGAAUUGCCUUUAAAACUGCAUCGCUGGAAUUGUGGAGAGGUAAGUGGAAUUCCGAGUGUAGAGGUGAAAUUCGUAGAUAUUCGGAAGAACACCAGUGGCGAAGGCGACUUACUGGACACAUAUUGACGCUGAGGUGCGAAAGCGUGGGGAGCAAACAGG
rnacentral:rRNA from 1 species